rnacentral:rRNA from 1 species
UUGGGGAAUAUUUGCGAACAAUGAGGCGAAAGCCUGAUCCAGCCAUGCCGCGUGCAUGAAGAAGGCCUUCGGGUUGUAAAGUGCUUUUGUCCGGAACGAAAAAGCUUCUGCUAAUACGAGAGGCCCAUGACGGUACCGUAAGAAUAAGCACCGGCUAACUACGUGCCAGCAGCCGCGGUAAUAACGGCGGU